rnacentral:lncRNA from 1 species
UUAUUUAUUUUUUCUCUUUUGGCAUAAACUUUACAAAAAUAUUAAUCAUGGAUUUAAGAAAUGUCAAACUUAUAAACAAAAAAGUUCCAAUGUACAGUACGUAGGGAUCAUAAAUAAUAUACUUUUCUUUUAUUUUGAAAAUAUUGAUCAUGUAUUUAAAAAACUUUAAAUGUGCAUAGAAAAUGUUUUUGAUCUCACUCGGCGGGCCCAGCCUUCAGCAUUUCUUUUCUUCUUUUU